UACAGAGACUGCAAGCGUUAUUCGGAUUCACUGGGCGUAAAGGGUGCGUAGGCGGGUUUUUAAGUCAGGGGUGAAAUCCCGAGGCUCAACCUCGGAACUGCCUUUGAUACUGGAAAUCUUGAGUCUGGGAGAGGUGAGUGGAACUGCGAGUGUAGAGGUGAAAUUCGUAGAUAUUCGCAAGAACACCGGUGGCGAAGGCGGCUCACUGGCCCGGAACUGACGCUGAGGCACGAAAGCGUGGGGAGCAAACAGG
rnacentral:rRNA from 1 species